rnacentral:rRNA from 1 species
ACCAUGCAGUCGAACGGUGAAGCAGAGCUUGCUCUGUGGAUCAGUGGCGAACGGGUGAGUAACACGUGAGCAACCUGCCCCGGACUCUGGGAUAAGCGCUGGAAACGGCGUCUAAUACCGGAUACGAGCUGCGAAGGCAUCUUCAGCAGCUGGAAAGAAUUUCGGUCCGGGAUGGGCUCGCGGCCUAUCAGCUUGUUGGUGAGGUAAUGGCUCACCAAGGCGUCGACGGGUAGCCGGCCUGAGAGGGUGACCGGCCACACUGGGACUGAGACACGGCCCAGACUCCUACGGGAGGCAGCAGUGGGGAAUAUUGCACAAUGGGCGAAAGCCUGAUGCAGCAACGCCGCGUGAGGGACGACGGCCUUCGGGUUGUAAACCUCUUUUAGCAGGGAAGAAGCGAAAGUGACGGUACCUGCAGAAAAAGCGCCGGCUAACUACGUGCCAGCAGCCGCGGUAAUACGUAGGGCGCAAGCGUUAUCCGGAAUCAUUGGGCGUAAAGAGCUCGUAGGCGGUCUGUCGCGUCUGCUGUGAAAACCCGAGGCUCAACCUCGGGCCUGCAGUGGGUACGGGCAGACUAGAGUGCGGUAGGGGAGAUUGGAAUUCCUGGUGUAGCGGUGGAAUGCGCAGAUAUCAGGAGGAACACCGAUGGCGAAGGCAGAUCUCUGGGCCGUAACUGACGCUGAGGAGCGAAAGGGUGGGGAGCAAACAGGCUUAGAUACCCUGGUAGUCCACCCCGUAAACGUUGGGAACUAGUUGUGGGGACCAUUCCACGGUUUCCGUGACGCAGCUAACGCAUUAAG